GGCUGGUCUGAAGGUAGUGAGUUAUCUCAAUUGAUUGUUCACAGUCAGUUACAGAUCGAACUCCUUGUUCUACUCUUUCCCCCCUUCUCACUACUGCACUUGACUAGUCUAAA
rnacentral:Y_RNA from 1 species